rnacentral:rRNA from 1 species
GGAAUCUUCGGCAAUGGACGAAAGUCUGACCGAGCAACGCCGCGUGAGUGAAGAAGGUUUUCGGAUCGUAAAACUCUGUUGUUAGAGAAGAACAAGGGUGAGAGUAACUGUUCACCCCUUGACGGUAUCUAACCAGAAAGCCACGGCUAACUACGUGCCAA